GAGGGGAGAAACAUAAAAGGUUGUGUGGCUGGCUUGAAACUAGUUAGAGGUGGUUCAAAUCCCCCCUCCCUUG
rnacentral:tRNA from 1 species